rnacentral:rRNA from 1 species
GACGAGCCACACAAACGUUGUUCGGAUUUACUGGGCGUAAAGGGCGCGUAGGCGGUCGUGACAAGUCACUUGUGAAAUCUCCGGGCUUAACUCGGAACGGUCAAGUGAUACUGUCGGACUAGAGUACAGAAGGGGCAACUGGAAUUCUCGGUGUAGCGGUGAAAUGCGUAGAUAUCGAGAGGAACACCUGCGGCGAAGGCGGGUUGCUGGGCUGAUACUGACGCUGAGGCGCGAAAGCCAGGGGAGCGAACGGG